rnacentral:rRNA from 1 species
UGCAGUCGACGGCAGCACGGGAGCAAUCCUGGUGGCGAGUGGCGAACGGGUGAGUAAUACAUCGGAACGUGCCCAAUCGUGGGGGAUAACGCAGCGAAAGCUGUGCUAAUACCGCAUAAGAUCUACGGAUGAAAGCAGGGGAUCGCAAGACCUUGCGCGAGUGGAGCGGCCGAUGGCAGAUUAGGUAGUUGGUGAGGUAAAGGCUCACCAAGCCUUCGAUCUGUAGCUGGUCUGAGAGGACGACCAGCCACACUGGGACUGAGACACGGCCCAGACUCCUACGGGAGGCAGCAGUGGGGAAUUUUGGACAAUGGGCGAAAGCCUGAUCCAGCCAUGCCGCGUGCAGGAUGAAGGCCUUCGGGUUGUAAACUGCUUUUGUACGGAACGAAAAGGUCUUUUCUAAUAAAGAAGGCCCAUGACGGUACCGUAAGAAUAAGCACCGGCUAACUACGUGCCAGCAGCCGCGGUAAUACGUANGGUGCAAGCGUUAAUCGGAAUUACUGGGCGUAAAGCGUGCGCANGCGGUUAUAUAANACAGUUGUGAAAUCCCCGGGCUCAACCUGGGAACUGCAUCUGUGACUGUAUAGCUAGAGUACGGUAGAGGGGGAUGGAAUUCCGCGUGUANCANUGAAAUGCGUAGAUAUGCGGAGGAACACCGAUGGCNAANGCAAUCCCCUGGACCUGUACUGACGCUCAUGCACGAAAGCGUGGGGAGCAAACAGGANUANAUACCCUGNUAGUCCACGCCCUAAACGAUGUCAACUGGUUGUUGGGUCUUNACUGACUCANUANCGAANNUNACGCGUGAANUUGACCGCCUGGGGAGUACNGCCGCNAGGUUGAAACUCAAAGGAAUUGACGGNGACCCGCACAAGCGG